CGGGCACCGCCCAGCCCGCUGCGGAGACCGGGGACCCGUAGCGGCCGCUCACUGAGUGGGGGUGUCCCGGUGAAGCGGGAAAACACGCCCCCCCCUCGGUGCGGCCGCAGUGGACCGGCCCAGGGAAAAAGGGAACGCGAGGCCCCUCCCGUCACCACGCGCGGCUGCUCGGGUCGCGCAUGCGCGCGGCGGGGGCGGAGCCUGCGGGCCAGGCGGCGGGAGCGGGCCUCGGGCGCUCUGGCCGGGGUCUCGGGGCCGUGGGCACAGAAGAGCGGAGUGUCGGCGGCUGCUGCCCGACGGGACCCGAGUUUCAUGGUAUUGGGAUUGGAGCUUGUCUUUCCUCGUGACUUUCCUGGCCAUUUCCCUGGGAAUCCUGUUCUGCCACGGCUGCUGAAGUGCCCAGUGUCUGCCGUCUUCCGUGGAAUCCUUAUUGUGGCUCACAAGAUCUCUUAGAAUGCCCAUGUCUAUUCUGGGACUCUGAGGUGCUUAGCCUUAAUUACUGAGAAGGAAAAUACAUCAGGAGUUGUUUCAGAACUAUUAUCCCCAAUACGUCAUUUUGGUUAAAGUUCUUAUACUUAGUUUUAGAUAUAUAGUCAUGUGCUGCAUAACAACGUUUCGGGCAACGACGGACCACAUACAUGGUGGUGGUCCUAUAAGAUUAGUACCAUAGAGCCUGGGUGUGUAGUAGGCUGGACCGUCCAGGUUUGUGGAAGUGCACUCUAUGAUGUUUGCACAAUGACGAAAUCACCUAACGAUGCAUUUCUCAGAAUGCACCCCCGUCGUUAAUCGAUGCAUAACUGUACCUGUACUGAUUUCUGAUCAAGUAUGAUUUUGCUGAAAAUUAUACUUUUCAUGCAAAAUAUUUCUCCCUUAUACAAUUAAUUGCAGUAUAAAACUGGUAGGGAAAACGUCAAGCAUUUGGAAUUAAAAAGUUUGAGACAUCAUGUUCUAAACAGUAAUGCCAUCUUUUUCACUUACAUAGAUAUUCUGGGUGAAGAACAUUAAAUUCCUUGCUAUAAAGGAAUGUUUUCCCUGUGAAAAGUGAUUUCUGUAAUGCUAAUGUGAGAGAGAAAUACAUUAGUUUUGUUGACUUUGGAGAAUCUGAACUGAGAUACCUUAAAAUUUAAUUUGUUAAAUAUUUGGAUGGACUAUGUAUAUAUGUGAUUGCAUUCAAAACAUACACAACAUUUACUUAGCCAUACCAAUAGAUCCUUUCCCCAAAUAACUAACUUAACCUUGGAGAAAUCUCAUAAGUCUCAUAGGUAGAAUAUAAUAUGCUGACCUAUUUUCAUGGUUUCACUUCAUUUUCUAUUCAAAUGAGCCUUAGCCACUGGUCCAUGCACCUCAAAGAAUGUACACGUGGCUUGUUUCCUCCUGAAAGAGCUAGAAGAGAAGGGGAGCUUUUGUGGCUGAAAAUAAGGAGAUCAUUAAGAUUGUGGCAUGUUACUUGUUCUGACUCAGAGGGUGGGAUUCUUAGUUAGUAGGACAGUGAGAAGAUGGGAUAAGAUUAAAAGAGACUAAAAUAAGACCAGAACAUUAGACACAGACCCAACUUCUUUCUUUGGUCCAAGAGUCAGGAACCCACACAUCACUCAUUUACUGAUGAAGGGGGCAGGGUGCUCAUAUUCGGAUGAGGAUGGGAAAAGAAGUGGACAAGAGAUUUUUAUUUUUAAUCGGAAGAGGCGUGAGUGGUGUGUUGACAAACUGUCUCCUAGAUGGAUCUUUAGCCACCGUCUUGCCUGUGUGUGGGCCAAAUCUUGGUGGAGCAAAAUUUUCAAGCAUUGCCUAUGGUAGCUAUGACACUGCCUAUGUUUAUUUUCUUUUUGGUUUUAAUUAGUUUUUUCAAACAAGUUCAAAAGAGCAAUCACUGGUUGGGCCUGCAUUUGGUGGUUGCAGCAAAUACUGGUUUUCUCUGUCUGAGGAGGCUGUUCCCAUGCCUUCUGGUUAUGGUUAGGUCGUCAGUUUUGCAGAAUAAUGCUUCCCAAAUGGAUGAUGGCAGCUCAAGGUUGUUACUACACAAUCAGCAUCAGGACCGUGGUCCCUGCCAGUCAGUGUGGUUGGGGAAAGCUUGGUGCCAAUGAAGCCAAGUCACUGGGCCUAGAGGGCUUCGAAUCUAGAAGAGACUCAAGAGAUCAUCAAGGAAAAUGGUUUUCGAUUAUUUUUAAACAAGGUCUUAUAUAGAAUUCCAAUUCUGCUCUUGGAAAAGACACUUUUAUGAGGACAGGGUUUCAGGAUGUAGGUAAUUUGUAUUGGCAGGAACCAGGACAAGACUUGUGGAAAUGUGUUCUGGGUGCCCGACUAAGAAAGAUAAAAUAUAUAACGGGCCUGGGCUGAGUCUAUUGACACCAGGGCACCCUCCCACGAUUCAGGAUUCUCUGGGGCCCUGGGGAGUGGCUCCCAAGUCCCUUUGAUUGGACCGAUGAGGUGGAGAUGUUGGACCUUCCCUGACACGCUCUGAACUGGGCUGUCCACUGCAACGGGCGGUGAGCCACAAAUGCGAACCACUAUGUAGCUUGAAAUUUUUUAGUAGCUACAUUUUUCUAAAAACUAGAAAGAAGCAGGUGAAGUUAAAUUGAACCCAAGAUAUCCAAAAUAUUAUCACUUCAGCUUCUAGUCAGUAUAAAAAAUAAUUAAUGGGGUACUUUUCAUUCUUUUCCUCACACUAAGUCUUUGAAAUCUGAUGUGUAUUUUACACAUGUAGCACAUCUCACUUAGUGCUAGCCACAUUUCAAGUGCUCAAUAGCCAGAAAUCAGUUAAUAAAUAAAGAGAAAGACUAAAGCAUUUAUCCUGCCUUUACCAUUUUAACUGUUCUGCAAGUACACUUAAGUGGGGACCAUUGUAAUGGAUCGAUCAGGCUAACAACACCUGCACCCUGAUCAAUUUUAUCACAGUUUCUAUGUGUCUCCUAUAACACAAGCCAGAAAGUAUUCUUACCAAGAAUCUGAAGUCAAAUCGGUUCAAGCCUCUAGAUCUAAUUAAUAACUUACAAGAACUACAUGACACAGAGGAGCAUGUUGAAUGAUCCAGUUCAAGAUGCAAUCAGCUAAAUCAAGAAGGCUGGAUUUUUCAGCCUUGCCAUUUAGUGUGACUAGCAGCAUGGACAUCCCGUGGGAGCUAGCUAGAAAUGCCGACUCUCAGGCCCACGUCAAAGCUACUCAAUCAGUAUCUGUAUUUUUAAAAGAUUCCUAGGUGACUCUCCUAAACUUUAAAGUUUGAGAUACACUGACAUACAGGAGAAUUGACCAAGCUUCUUCAAUAAAUGUAUUGUAAGAAUUAAAAAAGAGGGAUGGAGUUAGAUUAGAGAGGUAUAUAUUAAAAAGAUUCAAGAGAAUCUUGAAGAAUCUAUGUACCAGAUAGAAUAUGUGGACCUGUUUGGAUCCUGAUUUCAACAACCCAACUAUUAAAAAGUUGCCAAGUUUGAA